AAUCAACGCUGGCGGCGUGCCCCAGACAUGCAAGUCGAACGCGAAAGUCCCCCUCGGGGGGACAAGUAGAGUGGCGCACGGGUGAGUAACACGUAGGUAAUCUACCUUCGGGUGGGGAAUAACAAUCGGAAACGGUUGCUAAUACCGCAUAAUGCAGCGGCACCUAAUGGUGACAGUUGUUAAAGCGGGGGGAUCGCAAGAUCUCGCGCCUGAAGAGGAGCCUGCGGCGGAUUAGCAGUUGGUAGGGUAAUGGCCUACCAAGGCGACGAUCCGUAGCCGGCCUGAGAGGGCGGUCGGCCACACUGACACUGACAUACGGGUCAGACUCCUACGGGAGGCAGCAGUCGGGAAUUUUGGGCAAUGGGCGAAAGCCU
rnacentral:rRNA from 1 species